ACGUAAUAGAUACCCAGGUAGUCCACGCCCUAAACGAUGUCUACUAGUUGUUGGUGGAGUAAAAUCCAUGAGUAAACGCAGCUAAACGCGUGAAGUAGACCGCCUGGGGAGUACGGUCGCAAGAUUAAAACUCAAAGGAAUUGACGGGGGCCCGGCACAAGCGGUGGAUUAUGUGGAUUAAAUUCGAUGCAACGCGAAAAACCUUAACCUGGCCGUUGACAUGCCACUAACGAAGCAGAGAUGCAUUAGGUGCCGUAACGGGAAAGUGGACACAGGUGCUGCAUGGCUGUCGUCAGCUCGUGUCGUGAGAUGUUGGG
rnacentral:rRNA from 1 species